rnacentral:tRNA from 1 species
GGGGAUGUAGCUCAGUGGUAAAGUGCUUGUCUAAUAUGUAGGAGGCCCUGGGUUCAAUCCCCAAUACCCG